UCUCUCACACCCUUCAGAGAACACCCGGGCAAAACCCUAGCCGCCACCAUUCCCACCACCCAGAAACCCGGUGGCACCACCUUCUUUCAUCCUCAAAAUCACACCAGACAACCACCUCCCUCUCCUCAUCUCGAAUCCCCGCCCCGUUUGCUUCAAAUCCCCCUGGAGUUUCUCAAAUUUUAGAUCAAAGACUCAGACACUAAAUUUCCAAAGCAUAAAUCAGUGGUCAUGUUGAAGAUUUGAAGUCGGAAGAGGUUUUAUGCAUGUGUUUCAUUUGAGAACAUGUGAUUAAAACCCAUUCCGGUCCAAAUCGGAGAUUACCGGAGGUCUAUCCCAAGCUUGGCCAUUCCUUUAGGUAUCGUUGUGUAUUUUCUUUGUUUCCACCUUUUGUUUUAGUCACCUCUUCGUCUAUUUCUAAUUCCUCUCUUUUCUUUCUAUUUUUUUUUAUUUUAAAUCAUUUUCUUUCUCGCAUGUUAGGAUGGGGUCAUAGUACUGCCUUUGUUAUUAGGCUGUUCAUGGUCGUGGUUUGAAUUUUUCAAUUUUGUUUAAUUUUAGUUUCGUGGGAUUCGUAAUAGCAGGAGUUUAUAACUCCGCUGGCUCGUUUGCUUUUGGGUUUGGCUGUUCAAUUUAGGAUCUGGGCUCCGUAGGUCAGGAGCCCAUAAAGGGGAAGGCUCAAAUCUGGCUGUCCAACCCACGGGUUAGGUGUGGGAUUUGGGUUGAAUUUGACCCAUAAUCUGAAGGGUAAAUAACCUAAACUUUAAGGUUAAUCUAGAGAAUUGGCAUAAGGAAUCUUGAGUGUAACUGAAUGGGAAGCUUCCAGGAAGCUGGGGGUAGGGAUUAAAGUGAAUUUCUGGAAAUUAAGCUAGGGACACUUAAGCAAAAAAUAAAAUUCAAAAGGGGGCAAACUGCAAGCUAAGUUUGCCCUAAUAGCUUGCUUAUAAAGGCAUCCUAAACUUGCCUUUCAAGGCAGACCCAAGAGAGAUUUUGAGAGCUGGAAAUCCAAAAAAUAUAGAAGAUGCAUAAUUUUACUAAUUUUAUAGACUGCAAGAGUUAAAGGAUUUUCUAAGAGAAAAAUCUAGGAAAAUACCAAACGGCUGAAUUUUACUGUUCAUUGAUUUCCUUUUCUGAUUUUUUUUAAAAAAAUUUCCAACCUGCCAAAGAAAUCUUUUAUUUAUUGAGUGUUCGAGAUGGAUUGAAUUUGGUUUUAAGCUUGGUUUGAAUUCUGCUGAGUUACCACUUGAUUGAAACUAUUUUUCUGGAUUGCUGCACUUCUUUCUUGGUUUGGAGUUUGUUUUGUCGGAGUCCUGGUUGCAGGGUUCUGCUACUGCUGUUGCUGAGCUACUGACACUCAUUUAUACUUUGUUUCUUCUCUUUCCCAGGUACAUUUCGAUCUUUAUGGGUGUUAUUCGAUGUGCAACUUGAAAUAUGAGUUGAAAUGAGAGGGAUAUGAUGUUGUUGAUGGACUUUACCUUUUCUUCUUUCAGUGUUAUGAUCACCAUGUAGCUUUAAAUGCUCUGUUUAGUGUAUUUGUCAAAGAAUGGCUUGUAAUUGAGAAUUAGACCAUGCUAGUUUUCCUUUUAGUAUUUCCGUAAUUAGUGUUGGAUUUCCCUUUGCAGUUCAUCUUGUACUUAUUAAUGUCAAGUUCGUUCGUUAAAUCUUCGAUUGUCAUUCUGAUUUUGAGCAUGCUUGUACUGUGUUAUUGUCUCCACCAUUAAUACAAAUAGUGUUGCUAGCAGAUUUUCUUCUUGAUAUGUUUUCUUGUGUCAUCAAGUUAAGCGUUUGUUCUUACUGUGAUCAAUUCAUACUGGACUUCAAAUGAAUUUGGGAAGCAUGAUGGUUGAUUGCCUUGCAGAUUAUAUUGCUUCGAUAAUUGCCAAGUUCUCCGUGGUAUUGAAAUGGG
rnacentral:lncRNA from 1 species